rnacentral:rRNA from 1 species
GAGUAACACGUGGGCAAUCUGCCCUUCACUCUGGGACAAGCCCUGGAAACGGGGUCUAAUACCGGAUGACACCGGCCGCCGCAUGGCGGCCGGUUGAAAGCUCCGGCGGUGAAGGAUGAGCCCGCGGCCUAUCAGCUUGUUGGUGGGGUAAUGGCCUACCAAGGCGACGACGGGUAGCCGGCCUGAGAGGGCGACCGGCCACACUGGGACUGAGACACGGCCCAGACUCCUACGGGAGGCAGCAGUGGGGAAUAUUGCACAAUGGGCGAAAGCCUGAUGCAGCGACGCCGCGUGAGGGACGACGGCCUUCGGGUUGUAAACCUCUUUCAGCAGGGAAGAAGCGCAAGUGACGGUACCUGCAGAAGAAGCGCCGGCUAACUACGUGCCAGCAGCCGCGGUAAUACGUAGGGCGCAAGCGUUGUCCGGAAUUAUUGGGCGUAAAGAGCUCGUAGGCGGCUUGUCACGUCGGGUGUGAAAGCCCGGGGCUUAACCCCGGGUCUGCAUCCGAUACGGGCAGGCUAGAGUGUGGUAGGGGAGAUCGGAAUUCCUGGUGUAGCGGUGAAAUGCGCAGAUAUCAGGAGGAACACCGGUGGCGAAGGCGGAUCUCUGGGCCAUUACUGACGCUGAGGAGCGAAAGCGUGGGGAGCGAACAGGAUUAGAUAC